AGUGAACGCUGGCGGUAGGCCUAACACAUGCGAGUCGAACGGCAGCACAGUAAGAGCUUGCUCUUACGGGUGGCGAGUGGCGGACGGGUGAGGAAUACAUCGGAAUCUACUUUUUCGUGGGGGAUAACGUAGGGAAACUUACGCUAAUACCGCAUACGACCUACGGGUGAAAGCAGGGGAUCUUCGGACCUUGCGCGAUUGAAUGAGCCGAUGUCGGAUUAGCUAGUUGGCGGGGUAAAGGCCCACCAAGGCGACGAUCCGUAGCUGGUCUGAGAGGAUGAUCAGCCACACUGGAACUGCGACACGGUCCAGCCUCCUACGGGAGGCAGCAGUGGGGAAUAUUGGACAAUGGGCGCAAGCCUGAUCCAGCCAUACCGCGUGGGUGAAGAAGGCCUUCGGGUUGUAAAGCCCUUUUGUUGGGAAAGAAAAGCAGCAGGUUAAUACCCCGCUGUUCUGACGGUACCCAAAGAAUAAGCACCGGCUAACUUCGUG
rnacentral:rRNA from 1 species